rnacentral:rRNA from 1 species
CAUGUCCUACGGGGGGCAGCAGUGAGGAAUAUUGGUCAAUGGCCGAGAGGCUGAACCAGCCAAGUCGCGUGAGGGAUGACGGCCCUACGGGUUGUAAACCUCUUUUGUCGGGGAGCAAAGAGAGUCACGUGUGGCUCAUUGAGAGUACCCGACGAAAAAGCAUCGGCUAACUCCGUGCCAGCAGCCGCGGUAAUACGGAGGAUGCGAGCGUUAUCCGGAUUUAUUGGGUUUAAAGGGUGCGCAGGCGGAGGUGCAAGGCAGUGG